GCCAGGUGUGGGGCGCCCGCCUGUAAUCCCAGCAGCUCAGGAGGCUGAGGCAGGAGGAUCAUGAGUUCAAAGCUGUCCUCAGCAAAAGUGAGGCCCUAAGCAACUCAGUGAGACCCUGUCUCUC
rnacentral:sRNA from 1 species